AUGACUCUAACGGGAAACAAUACAACACACGAACAGUGUGACCAUUUGAAAAAAACUUUCAUUGUUUCAGUUUCAGUACAAAAUUGCGUGUAAUCAACGAGCCUGAUCAUGUCCGAUGUGUUGAUCUCUGCAAUCAGAUGUGUGCAUCGUCCGCCUCAAGCUCACUGAUAACUCAUGAAAACGGUCAACCAGCCUACCCACAAGCAAUUAAGAUAUUCCAGAAAGAUGACCUACUUGUAAGAGAUGGAUACUGAUGGACACCUUUACAGCUGGAGACCCUAAAACUGAAUUCAACAGUAGUGGGUGAGAACAAGGACAAAUUCUGCAAACAUUUCAACUCUAACCAUAAGAGAUUCUGUGAAGGGAGGUUGGCUAUCCAGAGACAUUCACUUUCAAUGGAGAUGUAUUCCUUGAUGAUAUGAUGCAACAAAUACUCACAUACAUUGACAAAAGACAACACAUGCUCUGGCCUAUGAUAUACCAGUCGUGGGGCUCUCAGUUAGGUCGAGAAACAACUGUUCAUCUCAAGGAUUACAGAAGUAUAAGACAGAUCUAUCUUUGAGAAUCACCUGAAAGUGUAGAUCUAUGUCAAGUUGGUUGAACCUACACCGUAAUGGAACUCUGACAUCUUGUGUUUCACACUGAUGCAGACAAUGUUGUUAUUUACAAGAGGUGCAGUCUGUGCUACCAGAUUUCUGAACACCUGUUGUCAGAAAACACACAUUCUACAAAGCAUACAGCCAGAAAUCAGCUAUGUAUUCUGUAGAUCAAAAAUCACACCUUCUCGGAAACCUCAGCGAUUCCGGCCACUGCAUGCAGCCGACAAUGUCAGCAAGGACUAUUCCAUUAUUUAUGUAAACAAUUUGUUAAAGACAAACUAUUAUGCUCAGAUAGUAAUCUACUCUUUGUCGGUGCCUACAAUGAUUUGGUCGGCGUACCUUUGUGCCCAAAAUUACCAGGACAUACCUUUCAAGCUGACAUCAACGAGCCCUGCCCUGGGAGGAAUGUUGUACUUGCUGUUCAAUGGAUUCUUAGUAUUAGCUCUGAAUUUUAUUGGACGGAGGUCUAUACACCGCAUGUACCACAACCCAGACACAGAUCACUAUAUUGCCAUCGUGCAGAACUGGAAUAUGGUGAAAGGUCAUCUGGCAUUCACAGCCGAUGAAGCCAGGUAUCAAAAGCCAUCCUUAAUGAAUGGUUUUCUUGGAAAUCUCGAGAUAAAAGGACGGCAGUUUUUUGUUGUGGGAACAGAUUUCAAGCAGCCAGCAUAUUACAACAGACUCAUGGGUUGGGAUGUAGGCACCCCUCUCGAACAGGCUAGUGACAUCGAUUUGAAGGAAUUGAUUCAUAAAGCGAGAAAGAAAUCUUAGAUUAUAUCAGAUUUAAUGUUCUAUUAAAAUGUCUUUCUUUUAUAAA